GUAAUUGCAUUGGAAUACUUCCCAGGGUUAGUGGGGAAUAACCAGUCGAUACAUGUAUUGGCUAAUAGCCGUCAUACGUCUGCGAACGAGAAAGCGGGGGAUCGUAAGACCUCGUCCGCUAUUGGAUGAGCCAAUGUCGGAUUAUGCUAGUUGGCGUGGGGUAAUAGGCCUACCAAUGGCGACAAUCCGUAGCUGGUCUGAGAGGACGACCAGCCACACCGGAACUGAGACACGGUCCGGACUCCUACGGGAGGCAGCAGUGGGGAAUAUUGGACCAAUGGGGGAAACCCUGAUCCAGCGACGCCGUCGUGUGUGAAGAAGGCCUGCGGGUUGUACAAGCACUUUUAGUGGGGACAAAAAGUCAUGGGCGAAUACCCCGUUGAUCUUGAUUUAAGCUCACAGUAAAAAGCACCGGCUAACUCUGUGCCAGCAGCCGCGGUAAUACAGAGGGUGCGAGCGUUGAAUCGGAAUUACUGGGCGUAAAGCGCGCGUAGACGGUUUGGUAAUGUCAGAUGUGAAAUCCCUGGGCUCAA
rnacentral:rRNA from 1 species